UACGUAGGGGGCAAGCGUUGUCCGGAAUUAUUGGGCGUAAAGCGCGCGCAGGCGGUUCUUUAAGUCUGGUGUCUAAGUGCGGGGCUCAACCCCGUGUCGCACUGGAAACUGGGGAACUUGAGUGCAGAAGAGGAGAGCGGAAUUCCACGUGUAGCGGUGAAAUGCGUAGAGAUGUGGAGGAACACCAGUGGCGAAGGCGGCGACCUGGACGGGCACUGACACUCAACUACGAAAGCGUGGGGAGCAAACAGG
rnacentral:rRNA from 1 species